CCAUCGUGAAGCAGCUGGGAGCACCAGGAGGCAGGUUUUCCCGUGCUUAUGGAAAGCACCACAUUGUUCUGCUGGGGACAUGUUCUUUUACUCCAAGGAGUAGUGGAUGUGCAAUGGGCUGUCCUGCCCGUAGAGAUGUGUGGGGCUGGCUGCUGAGAACAGAUGGCAACUGGCUGGCUCUGAUGCCUCAGAAGAGGUGAAUGCAUUCGGAGAGGCCACAGCUGAGAGUCCCUCAAACUGGGGAGUUAUUAUUCUAAAAGUUGGAUUUUUAGCAAGAUUUUACCAGGUAACACGUUAUUUGAAUUGGCUGUGACUGAAUUUGAGGAACAACGCGCCC
rnacentral:lncRNA from 10 species